GGGGUUGUGGCUCGGCGGUAGAGCACUCACCUAGCAUGUGCGAGGCCCUGGGUUCGAUCCUCAGCACCA
rnacentral:tRNA from 1 species